GCGGGCGUGGUGGACUCCAGGAGCAGGAGCCAUUUACUUUAGGGAGACGAAUUAUGUGAACGUUUUUCCAUGUCGUAUUUAGGGAGAUGUGUAUGCGUAGAUUUACUAAAUGAAAUUGCCAUCAAUCAAGUGUGUAUAUAAAUUAUGUAUGGUCAAUAAAUAAAGUGCUUGCUUUGUUCAAUCAGUUUGCGCAAUUUAUUAUUAUCGUGUCAGAUUCGUUCGAAUGGCUUACGUUCGCGUUUAAGAACGUAUGUAUUUUUCAUGUUAUUGCCGUUAUAAAUCGCUUUAAUAGGGAUUGUUUACAAAUUAUGCGAAUUUUAAUAUUACUUUCAUAUCAUCGCUAUUAUGUGUUGUGUGAGCACUACGAAUAUUGUAUUCUGUUCAAUAUAAGGAUGUACAAUUUUUAAUGAAGAUGAAACACAAAAUAAAUCCAAGUUUAAGAUUUGCUACAAAAUUGAAAAAGUCCUGACUACGAGAUGUUUGCAUGAACGCCUUAACACGGAAAUUAAAUUCCUACUAAACUCGUGUAAAUAAAACUUCUGAAGCUCUUCGCCUUUCGUUCUAUUGGUUUUUGUUGCUAUACAGAAAAACAGAAAGGACGAUACUGCUCGCAUUAAAGAAAUCAGCGUUCAUUAUUGAUUUUCAUUAAAAGGCGCGAGGUAGAGUGAGUAAAUGUUUGUCAACAUUAUCAAAUUUCAGUUUCAGCUUUUAGAUAAAGUUGGAGACGACGAUCGCUUUGUCAGAAACUUCAGUGGUACAUUUCAUGUGUCUACGACAAAUAUUGAAUGGAAGUUACUCUGUUUGAUUUGAAUGUCCUAAAGUGAAGUAAUGUUUAGAUGUCUUUAAAGUGCUUCCGAUUUCAUAUCCCUGUAAAACAUUAAAUUUCGGUCUUUUAACUUUGUGUCAAAAGGUCAAGCCCAUAAAUUAAAGUUAGCUCCGAGGCGUUAAUUUUGUUUAAUUAAAAGUUCACGUAUGUGUGUUAGCAAAUGAGUUACAAUUACUAGAAAACUAUUGGAAAAUAUGUAUGUCUUAAAAAGGAGAUACGUCCAUUAAGUUUUUAUGUGCUAAUUUAGAUAACAUGAAAUCGUGAUUGGAUGAUCGUUAAAAUACAGCGAUAUCAGCUCCUUGGUAUUCAAAUAAAUUUGCUCUUCUCGUCAAUUGUAUAGAUUAUUAUAAUCUCCGUUGUGUCUUGUACAGACUGUUACACGCAAAUGCAGAAACAUCGUUACAUUAGUAAUCAAUGGAAAGGUAAAGGGUUCAUCGUUCCACUUGCACACUGAAACUGCAGAUGUACUGAAAACGCGAAACAAACCACGCCCUGAAGGGAAAUCGAUAUAGUGUCUAGGUUGGGAACGAAAUUUCAGAAUGAUACAUGGAUAACAGUCGAGAUCGCAAUCAUUACUGUAUUUACAUUCGAAAUGAAUCAACGGAGUGUAAAGCUUAAUUAUUCUCUUUGUUUUUUUUAUAGUGAAUUGGAUGGGAAAUGUAAUACACUAAAAAAUGUUCAUAAGAGAGAAAAUAGCGCUUAUUAUUCAGAACCUGUUUUAAAUAAAUAAAUUUUGCCCCAUCGGUUUGGGUGGAGAGCUGUGAAAAUUUGAAUAUACUUCGGUGACAAAUCCCCUAAACUUCUAUUUGAAUUUCCGCAAGCAUUUGAGAAAGUAUACUGAUUUUCCAUUUUUGUCAAAUAUACCUUACUCACCCCCUUCCCUUCGGCCCCACAUUUCAAAUCGAUAUCUCAAACCGUUACCAAUUUAGAAGAGGGCAGAGGAGACUAUUCACGUCCGCACUGUAUACCUCACAAACUACAACAAAACUCAAAUUUGCGCCCACUUCUUCGAUCGAUGGAAUUUGGUUGUAACAGAUAUGUAGGGCAUGUUUGUUGACAUUGACACUUCAUUAUGCUAUGUUGUCUGACUGCAUUCUUUUUUCGGUUAAAAUCAAUUACUUAUUAGUUAUUGUAAUAAAAAUACCGCGCUCACACUGUUUGCUCUAAUAUAACGAUUAAAGAAACAGAACAAAAAUUAGUUACGAUAAAUUAAAUGAUCGUUAAAAUAAAUAUUAGUCCAAGAUCAGCAAUUACUGUUAAUAAGCAGGAAACAAAUUUGCCGACAGUUUGAAUCAGUAUCUUUAUGUUCUAUUUUUUUCUUUUGCCGAAGACUUAUCCGUCACUUUGUUAGCGCGUUAGGUUCAUAAUGGAUGAGAUAUCAGAAAAUGUAAACAAUUUAUUUGAAAGAUGAUAGAUUGUAUGAUUGAUGUUGAAUUAGCCAGCAGCGGUAGUGAUUGAUCUGUAUAUAGAGGCAUAAUCACACGAAAAUUUUUAAAUCGUGUAGAAGUUUUAGCGGUUUUUUCAUGAAAAAUACUUACUAUAAAUAAAUCCGAAGAUCAUUUUAAAGACAAGUUUGAACAUGUAUAGAUCUUCUGUUUAUUUAACUAUAAAUUAACACUACGAUUCUAUAACUAAAUUAAUGAAUUAAAA